GAAACGCGAUACGUGAUGCGAAUCGCGGGAACCAGCGAGCCAUCCAAUCUUCGAACGCACCUUGCGCUCCCGGUACCCCCGGGAGCACGCCUGUCCGAGUGUCGUCCCCAAGACCCGUCGCCUUUCUUUCUCUUCUCUCUCUUUUCAUUAAGAGAGGGUGUGAAAGGCUGCCCUGGGCUUGUCGCCGCCUGACUUCAUUGUUUGGGUGGCGUCGCCCUAAGAACAGACUCAAGGGGUUUUUCCUUCUUUGCAGGAUUUCUCCACUCAUGCCCUCUCUCUUUCCCUUCUCUUCUUCGCAAGAAGAGAGAAGAGAUAAGAGUGCCUGGCAGUUAGCGGGAUCUUUUACGAUUUCGCCACACCAAAGGGUCUCUUUUUCUUCUUCCUUGGGAAGAGAAAGAGAGGAGCAAAAAGAGAAAAGGAAACUUGCAAAAACAAAAAGGACAAAACCAUUUCCCUUUUGUUAAAACACUUUUUUCAAAAACGACCGACCUCGGAUCAGACGUCAUCACCCGCCGGACUUAAGC
rnacentral:misc_RNA from 1 species